rnacentral:lncRNA from 1 species
UAAGAUGGUCAAGUGAUGACGAGAGGGAGAUGAUAAUAAAACAGGUAACGUGUGAAGCAAGUCAUUGUUGUUGAUGAAAUCGUAAGCCCUUUUGGCUCUUCUAGCAGCGUUUCUCUCCUUCUUGUGGGCGUUUUGGUGACCUCCUAGGGCUUGGGAGCUAUGGAACUUUCUUGAACAAAAGAGGCAUGGGAAUACUCUUGAUGAAGAUGUGUCUUCGUCUGUCUUGUUGACUUCUUGGGUUGGCUUGAUCUCUUCUUCUACUUGAUGGUGAUGAUCUUCCAUUAUAUGUUACCUAUACAGAAAAAGUCACUAAGAAUUAGGUUAACUUCCAAGAAAUGAACAUACAAAGUUAUAGGGUAUGGGAUAUAUCUAUACGUUGAGAUGAAGAGAAUGUGUGUGAUGUGGGCUUGAGAGGAAGAGUUUAAAAGGGCAAGUGUGAAGAUGAGAAGUAGAGGAGAAGUCAAGUUUAAGAUGGUGUUUGAGGAGAGUUGGAAACUGUGAAGAAUCUGUGAGUGGAUUCAUUAGUGUUUUACUAAUAAGUGUUCUGUUCUGUUGCAGAGAGCCAACUUUGGGAGCAGGUUCUUUUGCCCGUAUGGGCUUGGGAACAGUGGAGAUAAGAGAGAGUCAGAGAUAAAGAGAGAGAAGAGAGAAGAGAAUUGAGUAAAAGGUGGUGCAUGUUGAUGAAAAGGAGAUUGAUUGGUGAGAAAGAAGAAAGAGACGUUUGAAUUUUUGGGAAAUGGAACUUCUUUUUACUAAUUUUUCUACAUCUUGAGAUUAGCAUUUUUUGGGUUUUUGCUUCUUCUCUAAGUGUAAACUCUAUUUUCCUAUUGGCAUAAGUAACUAUAGUUCCAUUCAACUUCCUCCGUUGUAAUAUUGACCAUGACUUUUAAUGAACUUUUA